UCAUUUUUUGUCACACUGCAAGCAUUUCAAAAUAAACAUUGUGUCUGUCAAAUGUCGUAUGUUAGUAAAUAAUUCAAAAAACCAUUUAAUAAAUUAAACCCCGUUUCAAUAAAGUAAAUUUACAGCUCAAGUCUUUGUUUGAUGCAACCGUAUUUAGAGAAGCAUUGUUUUACAAUCUAAAUGGAAGUUAAUUUCUUGAAAUUUUGUGAAAAAGGAAACUUGAUUGCAGUCAAGAAAUGUUUAGAUGAAGGUGUAAACUCGAAUUUCCAAAACAAUGAGGGAGAAUCACCAUUGCAAGUGGCUGCAGCAAAUGGAUACUUGGAUUUGGUGACUUUACUUCUUAAGUCUGGAGCAUCUGUUGAUCUUCCUAACAACUAUGGGUGGACACCUUUAAUGCAUGCUGCUAAAUACGGUCAUACAUCAGUUGUAGCUCAUUUGAUUAAAUCAAAAGCUAAGGUUAACAUUACUAACAAAUUAGGCAUCAGUGCUGUCCUUGCAGCUGCAUACAGUGGAAAUCUAGCUACCGUGAAAUUGCUUAUUGAAGCUGGUGCUAUGGUCCAACACAUGUCUGCUGGGAAUGAGACAAAUGAGAGUGAUUUAUCAACAGUGAUGGCAGUUUCAUUUUUUGGGUAUAGUCCUGUUUUAAAGUAUUUAGUACAAAAUGGGGGAAUCAUUCAUCAUUCUUCUCCUGUUACAGGUCUAACUCCCUUGAUGCUAGCUGUUUGUGCUGGUCAUAAUAAAAUUGCACACUUUCUGGUUGAAAAUGGUGCAGAUUUUAAUGCUAUGGAUAUCUGUGGAAGAACUGCCUUAGAUUAUGCCCACAUUUUUAAUCAAUUAGAAAUUAGAAUAAGUUUAGAGAAUCAAAUAACUUCUAAACCUAGCAGCUUUUCGAAUAAAAUUGAUGUGUUUAAAGUUAUAAAAGAUGGAGAUGUUUUAAAAAUUAAAUCUGUCUUGGAACGGGAUCCACCUUUAGUAAAUUCUUCUCAGUCACCAUCUGGAAUUACUCCCUUGAUGGUAGCUUCAGUGCUUGGUUUAUAUGAUGUAGCUAACAUUUUAAUAUCUCAUGGAGCUUCCCUACAUAUCCAAGAUACUGAAAAAGGUUGGACUGCUUUGACGCAUGCUGUUUUCAAUGGGCAUUUCGAAAUUGUGAAAUUGUUAUUAGAUGCUGGAGCAAAUGUUAAUAUAUGUGCAACAAAUGGCUGUACUGCAUUAGAUUUGGCUAAACAGAAUGUUAGUUGUCCUUCCACUAUUAUUGACAUGUUGUCAGCUAAAUAUAUGCUCGAGAUGAAAAGUACAUUGCUAACUCCAGAAAUUACUAAAAGAGGGAGAUCAUCUGCUUCAGAAAGAUCAUCAUCGAAACGAAAUCUCUCUCAAACUCGAAUGAAGGAAUGGAUUGGAGGCAUGGCCCAGCAUUUGCAAAACAAAAUGCUUACUUUGCGCUCUCCUAAAUAUUCCGAGAAUGCAUCAAGUACAAAUAUAACUACCAGUGAUGAAUCCUCAAAUGAAGUCUUUCUUGAACAAACUUCUCAACCUGAAGAAUUGGAUAAAGAAACUUCGAAUUCUUCAAUUAUACUAUCUCCGGAUGUGUAUUUAGCAGAUGUUUUAAAAGAGCACAAAGUUGAAGCAAUCAUCCCUCCUUUUCCGCCUAUAUCAACUGAUUUUGUUAUGUCAAUGAAAGAAAGCUAUAAAAGAUCGUCAGAUAAAAAUAAAAAACAUCAAAAAAAUUCUCUUCGAGUCCCUAACCUUUUGAAAAGUUAUUAUCGAAAGAAACAAUCUGUUGGUUGCAAUGUAGAAACAAAUGAAAAAGUCAUUACUCCACAUGAGAACAAACUGAAACUUUAUUGAUUGAUAAUAAACUUAGUGCAGGGGAUUUAGCACUGUUUCUAAAUGAAGAAUCUCUACAGAAAUAUACAGAAACAUUUAGAAAUCAAGAAAUUGAUAUGGAAACUUUUCUUCAUCUUACACCAUCUGACCUGUAUGAAAUUGGUAUAAAAAAUACUGAAUCGCA
rnacentral:misc_RNA from 1 species